rnacentral:rRNA from 1 species
AGGACGAACGCUGGCGGCACGCUUAACACAUGCAAGUCGAACGAGAGAAGAGGAGCUUGCUUUUCUGAUCUAGUGGCGGACGGGUGAGUAACACGUGAGCAAUCUGCCUUUCAGAGGGGGAGACCGAUUGGAAACGAUCGUUAAUACCGCAUAACAUAAUUGAACCGCAUGAUUUGAUUAUCAAAGAUUUAUCGCUGAAAGAUGAGCUCGCGUCUGAUUAGCUAGUUGGUAAGGUAACGGCUUACCAAGGCGACGAUCAGUAGCCGGACUGAGAGGUUGAUCGGCCACAUUGGGACUGAGACACGGCCCAGACUCCUACGGGAGGCAGCAGUGGGGAAUAUUGCACAAUGGAGGAAACUCUGAUGCAGCGAUGCCGCGUGAGGGAAGAAGGUUUUAGGAUUGUAAACCUCUGUCUUCAGGGACGAAAAAAGACGGUACCUGAGGAGGAAGCUCCGGCUAACUACGUGCCAGCAGCCGCGGUAAUACGUAGGGAGCGAGCGUUGUCCGGAAUUACUGGGUGUAAAGGGAGCGUAGGCGGGAUCGCAAGUCAGAUGUGAAAACUAUGGGCUUAACCCAUAAACUGCAUUUGAAACUGUGGUUCUUGAGUGAAGUAGAGGUAAGCGGAAUUCCUAGUGUAGCGGUGAAAUGCGUAGAUAUUAGGAGGAACAUCAGUGGCGAAGGCGGCUUACUGGGCUUUAACUGACGCUGAGGCUCGAAAGCGUGGGGAGCAAACAGGAUUAGAUACCCUGGUAGUCCACGCCGUAAACGAUGAUUACUAGGUGUGGGGGGACUGACCCCUUCCGUGCCGCAGCAAACGCAAUAAGUAAUCCACCUGGGGAGUACGACCGCAAGGUUGAAACUCAAAGGAAUUGACGGGGGCCCGCACAAGCAGUGGAGUAUGUGGAUUAAUUCGAAGCAACGCGAAGAACCUUACCAGGUCUUGACAUCGUAUGCAUAGCUCAGAGAUGAGUGAAAUCUCUUCGGAGACAUAUAGACAGGUGGUGCAUGGUUGUCGUCAGCUCGUGUCGUGAGAUGUUGGGUUAAGUCCCGCAACGAGCGCAACCCUUACUGUUAGUUGCUACGCAAGAGCACUCUAGCAGGACUGCCGUUGACAAAACGGAGGAAGGUGGGGAUGACGUCAAAUCAUCAUGCCCCUUAUGACCUGGGCCUCACACGUACUACAAUGGCUGUCAACAGAGGGAAGCAAAGCCGCGAGGUGGAGCGAACCCCUAAAAGCAGUCUUAGUUCGGAUUGUAGGCUGCAACCCGCCUACAUGAAGUCGGAAUUGCUAGUAAUCGCAGAUCAGCAUGCUGCGGUGAAUACGUUCCCGGGCCUUGUACACACCGCCCGUCACGCCAUGGGAGUCGGUAACACCCGAAGCCUGUAGUCUAACCGCAAGGAGGACGCAGUCGAAGGUGGGAUUGAUGACUGGGGUGAAGUCGUAACAAGGUA